rnacentral:rRNA from 1 species
UACGUAGGGUGCAAGCGUUGUCCGGAAUUAUUGGGCGUAAAGAGCUCGUAGGCGGCCAACUAAGUCAUACGUGAAAUCCCUCGGCUUAACCGGGGAACUGCGUCCGAUACUGGAUGGCUUGAGUGUGGGAGAGGGAUGCGGAAUUCCAGGUGUAGCGGUGAAAUGCGUAGAUAUCUGGAGGAACACCGGUGGCGAAGGCGGCAUCCUGGACCAUUACUGACGCUGAGUGAGCGAAAGCCAGGGGAGCAAACGGG